AUGUCAAGCUGUUAGCUGAAGACUGUUAGGAGUAAUUAAACUCAGAACUGAUGCAAAUGCUGAUAUAUGAUGGCAGAAGUUGACCGGGCUCGGGAUCGGAUUACUUUUCUAGAAUGCAUACAAGCCCAACAAAGGAGAGAGAAUCAGAUGAGAUUGUAUAUGUUUCUUUGAUCACCAUUCAGCCCUAUAUGUAAGUAACCUACAAUCAGAUCCAGUAUUAUAUUAGCAGUGGCAAUUUGGACCCAUUUACGUACAAAUGGGUUGAUUUAGGUUUUAGGUUAUAUCUCUAAUGGGCCAUCCUGCUAAAUAUCAAAAUAAUUGAUUAUAGAGGAAACAUGCUGAACGGUUGAAAGUGGUUGAAAGUGGCUGAAAGUGUACGUUUAAUUCGUGCAAUCUUCUAAAUUGUUUACCUUCAUUAAUCACAUUGUUGUUGAAAUAAUAUAAUAUUUGUAGUCAUAUGCAAUUACACUAUAAAUAUGCAUACAAACUUUGAUUAUUUUGGGAUGGAAAGUAUUUUGG
rnacentral:lncRNA from 1 species